rnacentral:rRNA from 1 species
UUUAACUGAGCGUUCAGUUACUUGACGUAGACCCGAAACCGGGCGACCUACCCAUGAGCAGGAUGAAGCGAAAGUAAAAUUUCGUGGAGGUCCGAACCCACGAGCGUUGAAAAGCUCGGGGAUGACUUGUGGGUAGCGGUGAAAUUCCAAUCGAGCCCGGAGAUAGCUGGUUCUCCCCGAAAUAGCUUUAGGGCUAGCCUCAAGGUGAGAGAUACGGAGGUAGAGCACUGAAUGUCCUAGGGGGUAUUGCACCUACCGAAGACUAUCAAACUCCGAAUGCCGUCAUCUUAUACUUGGGAGUCAGACUGUGGGUGAUAAGAUUCAUAGUCGAAAGGGAAACAGCCCAGAUCGUCAGCUAAGGUCCCUAAAUGUAAGUUAAGUGGUAAAGGAUGUGGGAUUGCACAGACAACCAGGAUGUUGGCUUAGAAGCAGCCACUCAUUCAAAGAGUGCGUAAUAGCUCACUGGUCGAGUGAUCCUGCGCCGAAGAUUUCCGGGGCUAAAACUUACUACCGAAGCUACGGCAUCAGUAAUGAUGGGUAGGGGAGCUUCCCAUACGGGUUGAAGCAUGACCGUAAGGACAUGUGGACAGUAUGGGAGUGAGAAUGUUGGCAUGAGUAGCGAGAUGUGGGUG